CAUAAGGCAGACAGUUUUAUAGGAGUACAGGUAAAAGCAUGCCUCAUGUUACAUGAGGGUCCCAAUACCAAUUUAAAGUUGCUAUUAUUGUCCAACCCCAGUUUUCUCAUCUGUAAAAUGGAACUGUCUUGAGUGAGAUACAGCUGCUGUCAAGGACCGAACACAGCAAACUUCCCAGGGGUUAUCUGGACAUCUGUGUGUGUAACUGAAGUUGUGGCAAUACCAACACUAAGGCACAUCAGCAGGGAGCUGGAUCAGAAAUGGAGCAGCUGAGACUUGAACCAGUGCCCAUAUGGGAUGCCAGCACUGCAGGCAUUGGCUUUACCCACUAUGCCACAGCACACACCCGAGCAAUAGAUUUUAAACUUAUUUUCUGAGGACCUGUUGGAUUUGUGUCUCUCCAUCCCAUACU